AUACUGAAAUGCAUGGUGGGAAAUCAGUGUGAAAUUCAUUGGCUGUUCCUGCAACGGUUAUAGUCCGAGCGCCACCCAGUAU
ncrna:unclassified sequences AdoCbl variant RNA